rnacentral:lncRNA from 1 species
GGCAUACAGAGGAUGUGAGUGGUUUGAAGCUCAGGAAAGUAAUGGCGUUGGGAAGGAGAGAGAAAAUCGGGUGAUGCAAGUCACUGGAUUGGAAAAACUGAAGCUGAAAAGUAACUUUUUUCUGGCAGAAAGAAGUUGCUCUUGAAAGUUGGGAAUAAACAAUAGGGAGUGAUGUCCUCUAUCUAUGCCCUCUGCUGUAAUACAAUCCUGAAACAUUCAAAAGUAAACAUUGUCAAUACAAGAUGCUGAACUUAGAGGAGUGUUAGUUUCACCUAAUAAAGCUAUUUUGAUAUUUAAUUAUUCAUUGUAACACUCUGGAGGAAAAUUGGUAUUUGAGAUGUUUUCUUUCAAGAAAAUCAAAUUUUGGGUUUUGCAUUAUCACAGUUUCUGUUGCAACAGAGAUUAUAAACCAAAGCUGAAACCUUGAUGUUUGUAGCUGAAUUUGUGCCCCAUAUAAUACUUUCCAUGGAAAUCUAGAGAAUGUUGACCAAUAUUUAUCAUCCUCAAUCUUCCCACCCCCCGUCUGCUGUUCCUUGCCUGCAGAACAUUACACAUCCCCACACUGUCAGUUCUAACAUUUUUUCAUGCCAGUCAUCUAGGCCAGUUGAAGUCGUGGCCUUCCAGGGCCUGAGUAUUAACCUCUUGAUUGCCACAAGUGCCCUACGAUGCCACCAAUUGUAUCUAUCUGUCAACAGCCCUUAAAUAUGGCAUAUAGCCAAGAAUAGCAGUAGCAGGAGAUAUAUUUCUGAGCAUUCUAGAGACUUGUUAAGUGACCUGACCACCUGUGGCAAGUGAGAAUUGUACAUGGGUGACCAGGCAGGGAAGCUCUUCCUAACUGGAUUAAAUUGGAACUCCAUUUCCUGGAAAGAUUUGAGUGUCAUUUGCAAUGGUGUGCCAUACUUUAAACUGAGGAAGUCCACUUCAUGGAUCCCUUAUAUUAGAAAAUCAGCAGUACUACUAGAAAGAGUUGGUCUCUUUAAGCAUCUAGGCUACUAAUGCACUAGAAAUGGCAAACACAUGUAUGUACAGAAAAGUGGGCUACUAAAAAUAUUUAUGGAACAGUAACUUUCAAAGUUGACAUAUACAACAUCAAACUAGGACAACGGAGAGCUCUCUGAAUUAUGAGUGUUAUAUUUUAAAGGAAGGAUGGUAUGACAUGUUUUCAUUGCUCCACAAAUAUAUAUAUAUAAAAAAAUGGUACUUAGUGAAAUGAAAUGUACCUUUUAAAUGGUACUUGGAUCUCAAGGUGUCCUGUGUGAGCACUUUUCAUUCCCAUUGCUUGGGAAUGGAGAUGCCCAUAUCUUAUUUUAAUUUUUGCUUGUUUGGUUUUGCAAUACAGCCCUGCUGUAGACUCAUGAUCUCCUUAUCCUGCUGCACCCAUCAUGGCGUACCACAUGCCAUUUGAGGGGGUUUAUUGACGCUUGGAAAUUACUUGGUGGGGGGGAGGGCACAGGCUGACUUUUUGGAGAGCACAGGCUUGUCAAAGCUUAAAAACAGAAAAUAAUUCUUGCAGAAAGGGGUUUUCAAUUUAUAUUUCUUGGUAAAUAUUUUCUAACAAACAACAGCAGCAGGGCAGAGUGCAACAGCAGAUUAACCACUGGUCAGUCACACUGUUCAGGAUAGAAGGUGGGAAGCAGUUGUUGUUGUUUUUUUAAUUGCAAUGUCAGUUCCACACUAGUGUUGUUGAGGGGUCUGAGGAUAUGGCCUUAUGGUACCCCAAUGCCCCCAUGUCGGGCUUUCCACUGGCUACUGCCAGCAGAACAGCAGGCAGUGCUGACCCAUCUCCAAGACUGAGACUUCUGCUGUGGCAGAGCUCCCCACUAGUGGUGCUCCAUUCCACCAGCUGAGAGUGAUGAUAUCCUAAGCCCCCAAGCACCAUCAUUAGCGGGUUAGGGAUGCACUCUAAAGGGACAAUGUAAAUAAAGCCACAUUGCAUUUGUGGUAAGUAACCUGCAGUCCCACGAAAGUGGUCACAGCAAUGCCCAGCGUCUAGCACACAGAUAGGGUCACUAAGCGAAGCUUAGAGAAUUCAAUUGCCUUAAACACAAUUAACUGUGAUGUAUCAUGGCCAGUGUAUUAUCAUAGUUUAUGCCAACAUUAAGUAUUAAAUCUGAGCACAAAAGAAGAAGAGACUUCUAAAAGGAAUUCAGUGCGCACCGUAUGUGUGCUGAAUACUGGAGGUGAGAGAAAGUGAUUCAUAUCUUAGCAAGAAGUAAUAGGUUUAAAAUUCUGGAGAAGUGAGACUGGUUAAAUGUUCCUCUGCUUGGAAAGAGUUCAAAGGACUGCUGCUCCUAAUUUUCUGAAAUGAUUAGCC